AUACGGAGGGUGCAAGCGUUGUUCGGAAUUACAGGGCGUAAAGCGCGCGUAGGUGGUCUGUUAUGUCAGAUGUGAAAGUCCACGGCUCAACCGUGGAAGUGCAUUUGAAACUGGCAGACUUGAGUACUGGAGGGGGUAGUGGAAUUCCCGGUGUAGAGGUGAAAUUCGUAGAUAUCGAGAGGAAUACCGGUGGCGAAGGCGACUACCUGGCCAGAUACUGACACUGAGGUGCGAAAGCGUGGGGAGCGAACAGGAUUAGAAACCCCGGUAGUCC
rnacentral:rRNA from 1 species